AGAGCUUGCUUUCUCGAGCGAGUGGCGAACGGGUGAGUAACGCGUGAGGAACCUGCCUCAAAGAGGGGGACAACAGUUGGAAACGACUGCUAAUACCGCAUAAGCGCACAGCUUCGCAUGAAGCAGUGUGAAAAACUCCGGUGGUAUGAGAUGGACCCGCGUCUGAUUAGCCAGUUGGCGGGGUAACGGCCCACCAAAGCGACGAUCAGUAGCCGAUCUGAGAGGGUGACCGGCCACAUUGGAACUGAGACACGGUCCAAACUCC
rnacentral:rRNA from 1 species